rnacentral:lncRNA from 1 species
ACAAUAUAAGGUCUGAACUUAUCACAAGCAAAUACAACUGCUAAAAAUUCCUUUUUCAGUAGUAGCAUAAUUUCUCUAGGCAUUGUCUAGAGUUUUACUAGCAUAUUAAAUAACAUUUAAUUUCUUAUCAACUCUUUGCCCUAGAACAGCACCUACAGCAAAAUCGCUAGCUUCACAGAUAAUUUCAAAAGGUAAAUUCCAAUCGGGUGGCUGAACAAUAGGUGCAGAGAUUAAUGCUUUCUUAAGUAUUUCAAAUGCUUCUACACAAUCAUCAUCGAAGACGAAUGGUAUAUCUUUUUGUAAUAAAUUAGUCAGAGGCCGGGAAAUUUUUGAGAAGUCCUUAAUGAACCUCCUAUAAAAGCCGACAUGACCCAGGAAACUUCUUAUACCUUUGAUGUCCUUGGGACACGACAUAUUUUCAAUAGCAUCAACUUUAGCUUUAUCAACUUCAAUGCCCCUUUCAGAAAUUUUGUGCCCCAAGACAAUACCUUCAUUAACCAUAAAGUGGCACUUCUCCCAAUUCAAGACAAGGUUAGUUUCUUCACAUCUCUGCAAAACUCGAUCAAGGUUGCUUAAGCAAUCAUCAAAAGAGGAUCCAUAAACGGAGAAAUCGUCCAUGAAAACCUCACAAAUCUUUUCAAAAAAGUCAGAGAAUAUAGCCAUCGUGCAUCUUUGAAAGGUAGCAGGUGCAUUACAUAAACCAAAAGGCAUACGUCUAUAAGCAAAAGUACCAAAAGCACAAGUAAAAGUGGUCUUUGAUUGAUCAUCAGCUGACACAGGUAUUUGAGAGAAACCAGAAUAACCAUCUAGAAAGCAAAAAUGUGUAUGCUUGGAUAAUCUUUCUAGCAUUUGAUUAAUGAAAGGUAAGGGGUAAUGAUCUUUUUUAGUAGCCUUAUUUAAUUUGCAGAAAUCAAUUACCAUCCUAUAACAUGUAAUAAUUCUUUGCGGAAUCAAUUCAUCUUUAUCAUUAGGAACGACGGUAAUACCUCCCUUCUUAGGAACACAAUGGACAUGACUUACCCACUGACUAUCAGCAACGGGAUAAAUUAUACCUGCCUCAAGGAGCUUUAGUAUUUCUUUUCUUACCACUUCUUUCAUCUUAGGAUUCAGCCGUCAUUGGUGAUCAAUAACUGGUUUGGCAUCUUUCUCUGAAUUUAUUUUGUGUUGACAUAGAGUGGGACUAAUGCCCUUAAGAUCAUCAAGAGUAUAUCCGAUAGAAGCACGGUCCUUCUUCAGAGUUUUCAAUAAUUUUUCUUCCUCCUUCUCUGAAAGGUUAGCACUAAUAAUAACAUGAUAUAUCUUCUUUUCAUCAAGAUAAGCAUAUUUAACAGUAUCAGGCAAUGGUUUAAGCUCAAACACGGGAUCACCCUUGGGUGGAGGAGGAUCCCCUAAGAUUUUAACAGGCAAGUUGUGUUUCAGAAUAGGUCCCUGUUUAAAGAACACUUCAUCUAUUUCCCUUCUUUCAUUCAUAAACAUAUCAUUUUCAUGGUCUAGCAAAUAUUGUUCUAAAGGAUCACUAGGAGGUACGGCAAAGAAGCAAGACCAAUAAUUUCAUCUUUACUAGGCAAUUCCUCUUCAUGGUGUUGUCUACGAAAUUUAGAAAAGUGAACUCAUGAGACAUAUCACCUAAACCAAUAGUAACAACAUCCUUUUCGCAGUCUAGCCUAGCAUUAACAGUGUUUAAGAAGGGUCUACCAAAUAUAAUGGGACAAAAGCUAUCUUGUGGGGAACCGAGAACAAGAAAAUCAGCAAGAUAUUUAGUUUUCCCACACAAGACUUCAACAUCUCUAACAAUCCCAAUUGGUGAAAUAGUAUCUCUAUUGGCAAGUUUAAUUGUGACAUCAAUAUCUUCUAACUCAGUAGGUGCAAUAUCAUGCAUAAUUUCUUUGUAUAAGUCAAUAGGUAUUGCACUAGCACUAGCACCCUUAUCACACAAGCCAUGAUAACAAUGAUCUCCUAUUUUAACAGAAAUAACAGGCAUGCCUACCACAGGUAUAUGUUUAUCUUUAGCACAAGGUUUAGCAAUUCUAGCAGUUUCAUCACAGAAAUAAAUAACAUGCCUGAGGGAGUCCUGGAUUAGGGGGUGUUCGUAUAGCCGAACUAUACCUUUAAGCCGAACUCCUGGACUAUGAAGAUACAAGAUUGAAGACUCCGUCCCGUGUCCGGAAGGGACUUUCCUUGGCGUGGAAGGCAAGCUUGGCGAUACGGAUGUUCAGAUCUCCUACCAUUGUAACUGAGUCUAUGUAACCCUAACCCUCUCCGGUGUCUAUAUAAACCGGAGGGUUUUAGUCCGUAGGACAACAUACACAUCAACAAUCAUACCAUAGGCUAGCUUCUAGGGUUUAAGCUCUCUGAUCUCGUGGUAGAUGUACCCAUAUCAUCAAUAUUAAUCAAGCAGGACGUAGGGUUUUACCUCCAUCGAGAGGGCCUGAACCUGGGUAAAACUUCGUGUCCCUUGCCUCCUGUUACCAUCCGGCCUAGACGCACAGUUCGGGACCCCCUACCCGAUAUCCGCCGGUUUUGACACCGACAUUGGUGCUUUCAUUGAGAGUUCCUCUGUGCCGUCGCUGUCAGGCCCGAUGGCUCCUACGAUCAUCAAUGGCGAUGCAGUCCAGGGUGAGACCUUCCUCCCCGGACAGAUCUUUGUCUUUGGCGGCUUCGCACUGCGGGCCAAUUCACUUGGCCAUCUAGAGCAGAUCGAAAGCUACGCCCCUGGCCGUCAGGUCAGAUUCAGAAAUUUAAACUACACGGCUGACAUCCGCGGGGACUUGAUCUUCGACGGACUCGAACCACUGCCGAGCGCGCCGCACUGUCACGACGAGCAUGAUCUAGCUCUGCCGCCGAAUAGUGCCCUGGAGGCCGCACCCGCAUCGGCUCUGACCCUUUGUUUGGAGCCAACUGCGCCGAUCGAGGAUGGGCGGUUGGACGCCACCUCGGGGGUUGUGAUCCCAAUGGCGGUUGAGCCGAACACCACCCUCGUACUCUGCGAGACUCAUGCCUCCACGGAGCCGGAUUCUUCUCCGAACUCCGAACCCUCCGUGCCCCUGCCGAUCGAAUCUUAUUGGGCGCCGAUCAUGGAGUUCACGGCCGCGGACGUCUUUCAGCACUCGCCUUUCGGCGAUAUCCUGAAGUCACCGAAGUCUCUCUCUUUAUCAGGAGAGCCCUGGCCGGACUACGGUCAAGCGUGCCCGGAGUAACCUACAACAAGACCGCCUGGCACGUUCCGAGCAGGCGUAGCAAUGCGGCCCCAACCCCAACCCUAGCAAAAAGGCGACGCCAGUACUUCGCGUACAUAAUUACGCUCUAGAAAUACCAUGGACAUAGGGGGAGGGGCACCAUCACGGCACGCCCAAAACACGGCUUAAACCGCACCAGGGGCUGCCGAUUUUUUACUUUUCUCUUACUUCCAGGACUCUACUCUUCGGAAGGCCUAUUCGGCAGUUCAAUUGCCGCACAAUCGAUGCAAGAACCAGGGAAGAAGACAAGCCAUGCCGCAUUACAGAAAUCCCAGGUGGUCUCUAUCACGAGCAGCAUACCUAUUUCGCAUACUAUUCCGCAGCUUGCCCCUGGAGCAGACAUGUUAAAUAGUCCAACUUUUCGUUUAUCGCAUUACUUGUAUCGUUCUGCUUUGAUCACAUCUAUUUUUCAUAAACAAUGCAUAGCUUUUGUCUAUUUUUGCACUAUAUUUUUAUAAAUAAAUGUUCCUUAACGACAUGUUGCACCCGUACAACUUGGUACGACCAAAAUACGCCAGGGGCUUUUAGCAUCCCUCAAUAUGGUGUGAGAAGUCCGAACACUUUCACAAGUGCGGCACCCCAAACUUAUAGCAUUAUAUGCAUCGGCUCUGAAUCAUGUCUUGGGUCAAUAGUUGGGUUUGCCCGGCUCCUAUGUUUUGGUGCCUUACGUUCCGCUAUAUCGGCUAAGGUAGCACUAGGAGAACCACUGUGAUUGUGCCCCAGUUGAGCUAGGACAAGCACCUCAGUGGAGAAAGCUAAAACUGACUGUCAUGAUGAAGCGAGAGCUGGUCGUUGUUCGAGAGGUUUUUUUGAGUCCCUAAAGACUUAUGCCGCUUAGGGCGACGAGUCGGCUCUGUCCGGCCAAGGCGUGGAUAGCGCCCUGAACUCGGUCUUCCAAAUACUAGGGGCUUCACCGAAAUUUAAAAUUAUAGAAUUAUAUGGCUAAGUGAGAGUGUUCACGCAUUAUAGUCCGAUUGCCUCGUUCGUCGGGCUGAGUGCCUCCCUCGACGAACCCAACCAUGGGAAAAAGAGCGCCCAGAUUUAUCCCCGAACACCCCAGCACUAGUGGCAAGGGGGCAGAAGCCGACGAUUCACCAUCUCUCAGUAUUGAUAAAUAGCCGCAGAGAAGGUAAUAUUUUAAAUUCAAGCAGCAUUGCUCAGCGCAUAUGAACAAGUUUUCAGCGCACAGGACACAAACGAGCGAGUUUUAAUCAAAAAUUACAUCCCUAGUACAUUCAUCCGCCACAAGGCGGGCACCCUUCAGAACAUCCUUAUAGUAAUUUUCGGGCUUGCGAUGCUCCUUCCCCGCUGGCGGCCCGUCCUUCACAAGCUUCUCCGCAUCCAGCCUGCCCCAGUGCACCUUAGCACGGGCAAAGGCCCUACGGGCACCUUCAAUACAGACAGAGCGCUUGAUGACUUCGAGCCUUGGACAGGCCUCCACCAGCCACCGCACCAGCCCGAAAUAGCUCCCAAGCAGAGCCUCUCCAGGCCACAGUCGAACUAGGAGGCCCUUCAUGGCCUGUUCGGCCACCUUGUGGAGCUCGACCAGCUGCUUCAGCUGGUCGCUCAGGGGCACGGGGUGUGCGGCCUCAGCAUACUGAGACCAGAACACCUUCUCUGUUGAGCUGCCCUCCUCGGCUCGAUAGAAUGCGGCGGCAUCGGAUACACUCCGGGGAAGAUCUGCAAAUGCCCCUGGAGAGCUCCGGAUUCGGGUAAGUAUCAAGUAACUCACGUUUAUGUGUUUACUUUGCAUAAAGAAUGCCUUACCCGCUGCUAUUUUCUUCACCUCAUCCAACUCCUGGAGGGUCUUCUGGGAUUCGGCCUUGGCAGACUUAGCAUUUUCAAUAGCCGCCGCAAGCUCGGACGCUCGCGUCUUCGACUCAAGCUCCAAACUCUCAUGUUUCUUCAUGAGAACCUGGAGCUCUUGCCGCACCUUGCCAACCUCGGCCUCAUACCUCUCCCGGUCGGUGCGCUCCACGGCCGCACUCUUCUCGGCCUCGAGCAGCGCUUGCUUAAGGGUCGCCACCUCAGAUGUGGCCCCUACAAUAGACAUGUUAAUCCUGUCAUUUCUUGCAAUUGCACCUUUUUCAUAUACAUAUUCAACCAAGGUAUUUCUUACCUUCCUUCUCCUCGAGCUGCUUCUUGGCACGCCCGAGCUCUUGCCCGGACUUCUCGAGGCUCUUCUUCAGCGUGUCCACUUCCGCAGUGAGUACGGCGGACGCCAGCAGAGAAGCCUGCACACGCAUAUUGACUCCUUUUGUUAGACUCCUGCGAAUUUUUUGAUCCUCUAUUCGGCUUUUCUUCCCAAACUCCCAACAGAGCAUCAAGGGCUACUGUCUAUGCGGUAAUAUUAUUUACACAUCAUUUACUUACCUCAAAGCCUGUCAAAAGGCUAGUACAAGCUUCAGUCAGUCUGCUCUUGGUGGACUGAACCUUCUGGGCCACCGCACUCAUAAUAGUGCAGUGCUCCUCGUCGAUGGAGGCGCCUUGGAGCGCCUCCAACAUAUUGUCCGGCGCCUCCGGAUGGACGGGGGUCGCCGGCACGGUGGACUUGCUCCUCUUGGAAGGAGGUCCUCCACCGGACUCCGGAACCCUUGAAGGUUCCGGAGCGGUGUCCGGCCUAAAGCCGGACUUGGAGCCCUGGGGGGUUUCAUCCCCUUUACUCCUGGAGUCCGGGAGGUCGCCUUGCGGUGCCUCCGGGACCACCUCCUCCCUGCUUGGAACCUGUUGGGACAACACCUCGGUGUCGUCCAUUGGGCGGCGGGAGGAAACCGUCGGAAGCGAGUUCACCUCCGACGAGUCCAGUGAGCCGCUCGACGACGCGUCGAGCCGGUCUUUGGGUGGGCUGCAUAAGCAUAUUCGACAUAAGGGAAAGCUGUGCAAUAAACGAAUACUAUGAAUUACUCCGGUAUCCGGAUACUUAUGAUUUUGCCAGGGGCUUGACCCUGGGCUGCCACUCCUCUUCGCCAUCGUCGCCGUCGUCGGAGUAGUCUGGAGGAAGAGUUUUCCCCUUCUUGGACCCUCCGGUCUCCUCAGAGAGGGCGGCCUUCCUUUUCUUCUCUCCUCCCGCUGGAGGGGGAGAGGUCUCUUCUUCUUCCUCCUCGUGUUCACGAGAGGAAGGCGCUUUGGGACCGUUGGAUGACGAAUCCGACACCUCCUGGCGCCGGGCACUCUUUCGAGUCCCCGUGGCCCUUUUCGUGGCCUUCUUCUCCGGCACCACAUAGGGCACCGGAACCAGCAGCUUCGCCAAGCAAGCGUCCGCUGGGCCUUCGGGCAAAGGAGACGGACAGUUGAUCUGUCCGGACGUCACCUCCCAAUCCUAUCAAAGAUAAUGGAAUUCAGAUCCCGCAUAGAGUCAAACUAUGAAAAACUGAUACCCUGUAAAAGGACAAAGACAGCUUACCGCAUGAGCGUGAUGCUGAGUACUGAAUCCGCGAUCCUCAGCAGCGGAUGCGGGAGCCUCGGCGCCCUUGAAAAGCAUCCUCCAGGCAUCUUUGUACGUCGUGUCGAAGAGCCUGUUUAGAGUUCGAUGUUGCGCCGGGUCGAACUCCCACAGGUUGAAGGCCCGUCGUUGACACGGGAGGAUCAGGCGGAUGAGCAUAACCUGGACUACGUUGACAAGCUUGAGCUUCUUGUCCACCAGGGUUUGGAUGCAUGUUUGGAGUCCGGUCAGCUCUCCUUUUUACCCCAAGACAGGCAUGUCUCCUUCCAGGAGGUGAGUCACGUAGGGGGGCCGGAUCGAAACUCAGGAGGUGCGACCCAUUCGGCGUCGCGCGGCUCAGUGACGUAAAACCACCCUGAUUGCCACCCCUUCAGGGUCUCCACAAAGGAGCCCUCGAGCCACAGUACGUUGGCCAUCUUGCCAACCAUGGCACCGCCGCACUCCGCCUGGCUGCCGUGCACCACCUUUGGCUUGACGUUGAAAGUCUUAAGCCAUAGGCCGAAAUGGGGGCGGAUGCGGAGGAACGCCUCACACACGAUGAUAAACACCGAGAUGUUGAGGACGAAGUUCGGGGCCAGAUCGUGGAAAUCCAGGCUGUAGUAGAAUAUGAGCCCCCGGAAAAAUGGAUGCAGAGGGAAGCCCAGUCCGCGGAGGAAAUGGGGGAGGAAUACCACCCUCUCAUGGGGCCUAGGAGUGGGGAUGAGCUGCCCUUUUCGGGAAGCCGGUGCACGAUGUCGCUAGCCAGAUAUCCGGCCUUCCUCAGCUUUUUGAUGUGUCCCUCCGUGACGGACAUGACUGGAGAAGGUUGAGGUGGUAGUGCGGACUUGGGCGGUGAAGCUCGAGUGCACAAGAAUGGAUAGGCGAAGGAGGAAGAAGGCGUGGUAUCCCCUUAUAUGGGUGGACGCAACUACAUGUCCCCACCAGCCUGGUGAAACUCGCUUAUCUCCAAGCGCCGUAAUCAAAGGCGCGGUUGGGUUACCCACGCCCGUAUUGAUGAGAAUCCUGGAAUAACGGGACACGCUCUCUGCUUUGACAAGACGUGCCAAGGAAACCGCCUCACAUAACGCGCUGAGGUGGGAUACUGAAACGACUCAGAUAAAGGCUUGGCCGUGGUGUGUCAUGCUACGGAAUACGUCAGCAGAUUAGAUUUGUGUAAAUAUUAUUCUCUCUAUGGCAAUAUGUGGAAACUUAUUUUGCAGAGCCGGACACUAUCUUUGUGUUUAAAAUCUUCUAUAAAGUACUUGGAGGAGGAACCCGCCUUGCAGUGCCGAAGACAAUCUGCGCGCUGGAAUUGUCGUCAUUGAAGCCUGGUUCAGGGGCUACUGAGGGAGUCCUGGAUUAGGGGGUGUUCGGAUAGCCGAACUAUACCUUCAAGCCGGACUACUGGACUAUGAAGAUACAAGAUUGAAGACUCCGUCUCGUGUCCGGAAGGGACUUUCCUUGGCGUGGAAGGCAAGCUUGGCGAUACGGAUGUUUAGAUCUCCUACCAUUGUAACCGACUCUAUGUAACCCUAACCCUCUUCAAUGUCUAUAUAAACCGGAGAGUUUUAGUCCGUAGGACAACAUACACAUCAACAAUCAUAACAUAGGCUAGCUUCUAGGGUUUAGCCUCUCUGAUCUCGUGGUAGAUCUACUCUUGUACUACCCAUAUCAUCAAUAUUAAUCAAGCAGGACGUAGGGUUUUACCUCCAUCGAGAGGGCCCGAACCUGGGUAAAACUUCGUGUCCCUUGCCUCCUGUUACCAUCCGGCCUAGACGCACAGUUCGGGACCCCCUACCCGAGAUCCGCCGGUUUUGACACCGACAAUGCCCAUCAAUAUUAUCAGCCAAGAGAUCCUUAACAAUAGCAAUAUUAGGUUCAACUUUAACUUGCUUAGGAGGUGUAUAGGUUCUAAUAUUGCUUUUACAAACCACAGUUGAAGCUUUAGCAUGAUCUUUUAUCCUAACAGGAAAAGGUGGUUUCUCAACAUAAGCAGUAGGAAUAAUAGGAUCAUUAUAAGUGAUAGUCUUUUCUUCAACUUUAAUAGGUGCAUCUACUUUUACUUCUAUGGGGGGAUGAUAUUUAAACCAUUUCUCCUUAGGGAGAUCAACAUGAGUAGCAAAAGAUUCACAGAAAGAAGCUACUAUCUCAGAGUCAAGUCCAUAUUUAGUGCUAAAUUUACGGAAAACAUCGGUAUCCAUAAAAGAUUUAACACAAUCAAACUAAGGUGUCAUACCUGACUCCUUACCUUCUUCGAGAUCCCAAUCUUCAGAGUUGCGUUUAAUUCUUUCCAAUAAAUCCCAUUUGAAUUCAAUAGUCUUCAUCAUAAAAGAGCGAGCACGAGAAGUAUCGAGCAUGGUGCGAUUGUUAUCACAAAGCAGAGCAUAAAAUUUUUGGACAAUCAUUUCUCUUGAGAGCUCAUGGUUGGGGCAUGAAUAUAACUUUGAUUUAAGCCUCCCCCAAGCUUGAGCGAUGCUUUCUCCUUCGCGAGGCCAAAAAUUAUAUAUAUAAUUACGAUCACGAUGAACAAGAUGCAUAGGAUAAAACUUCUGAUGAAAUUCCAAUUUCAAUCGUUUGUAGUUCCAUGAUCCCAUAUCAUCACAUAGCCUAUACCAUGUCAAUGCAUCUCCCGUCAAAGAUAAAGGGAAGACCUUCUUCUUGAUAACAUCAUCAGGCAUACCUGCAAGCUUAAAUAAUCCACAAACUUCAUCCACAUAUAUUAGGUGCUCAUCAGGAUGUAAUGUUCCAUCUCCUGCAAAAGGAUUAGCUAGCAAUUUUUCUAUCAUACCCGAAGAAAUUUCAAAGUAGACAUUUUCAUUUUCAGUAGGUUCAGUAGGUUGAGGAUCAACUCUUUGCUCUACUGGUCGGGGUGAAGAUACCCCGAACAAGCCACUCAAAGGAUUACUUUCCAUAGUAACAAGUGACAGUAAAUUUCAGCACGGUAUAUAAAUUUUUCUUACCAAAUUCCACCUACCAAAGGCGCUUCACUCCCCGGCAACGGUGCUAGAAAAGUGUCUUGAUGACCCACAAGUGUAGGGGAUCUAUCGUAGUCCUUUCAAUAAGUAAAAGUGUCUUGAUAACCCACAAGUGUAGGGGANNNNNNNNNNNNNNNNNNNNNNNNNNNNNNNNNNNNNNNNNNNNNNNNNNNNNNNNNNNNNNNNNNNNNNNNNNNNNNNNNNNNNNNNNNNNNNNNNNNNNNNNNNNNNNNNNNNNNNNNNNNNNNNNNNNNNNNNNNNNNNNNNNNNNNNNNNNNNNNNNNNNNNNNNNNNNNNNNNNNNNNNNNNNNNNNNNNNNNNNNNNNNNNNNNNNNNNNNNNNNNNNCCCUUGUUGCCCUCCUCUCCUUUCCACUAAGGCCCAUGAAGGCCCUUGAACUUCCCGGGGGGUCCGGUAACCCUCGGUACUCUAAAACUCAUCCGAAACAACCCAAACCAUUCCGGUGUCCGAAUGUAACCUUCCAAUAUAUGAAUCUUUACCUCUCAACCAUUUUGAGUCUCCUCGUCAUGUCCGUGAUCUCAUCCGGGACUCCGAACAAACUUCGGUCAUCAAAUCACAUAACUCAUAAUACAAAUCAUCAUCGAACGUUAAGCGUGCGGACCCUACGGGUUCGAGAACUAUGUAAACAUGACCGAGACACAUCUAAGCUCAAUAACCAAUAGCGGAACCUGGAUGCUCAUAUUGGUUCCUACAUAUUCUAUGAAGAUCUUUAUCGGUCAAACCGCAUAACAACAUAAGUUGCUCCCUUUGUCAUCGGUAUGUUACUUGCCCUAGAUUCGAUCGUCGGUAUCAUCAUACCUAGUUCAAUCUCGUUACCGGCAAGUCUCUUUACUCGUUCCAUAAUGCAUCAUCCCGCAACUAACUCAUUAGUCACAUUGCUUGCCAAGCUUAUAGUGAUGAGCAUUACCGAGAGGGCCCAGAGAUACCUCUGUGAUACACGGAGUGACAAAUCCUAAUCUUGAUCUAUGCCAACUCAACAAACACCAUCGGAGACACCUGUAGAGCAUCUUUAUAAUCACCCAGUUAUGUUGUGAUGUUUGAUAGCACACAAGGUGUUCCUCCGGUAUUCGGGAGUUGCGUAAUCUCAUAGUCAGAGGAACAUGUAUAAGUCAUGAAGAAAGCAAUAGAAAUAAAACUAAAUGAUCAUUAUGCUAAGCUAAUGGGUGGGUCUUGUCCAUCACAUCAUUCUCUAAUGAUGUGAUCCCGUUCAUGAAAUGACAACACAUGUCUAUGGUCAGGAAACUUAACCGUGUUUAAUUAAUGAGCUAGGCAAGUAGAGGCAUACUAGGGACACUCAGUUUUGUCUAUGUAUUCACACAUGUACUAAGUUUCCGGUUAAUACAAUUCUAGCAUGUAUAAUAAACAUUUAUCGUGAUAUAAGGAAAUAUAAAUAACAACUUUAUUUUUGCCUCUAGGGCAUAUUUCCUUCAUCUCAGCGGCGAGACGGUCGGCUUCGGUCUGAGACAUGGUGUUGACGAAAACGACGCGGACAUAGAGGAAGUAGCUGAUCGGAGGCGAGCAGUCGCGUAGUCGCUUCCCAAAAACCUAUUCACCCCUCUCCCGUACAGGAACUGGAGGGGCGGGGUUUCGGAGACCUGCUCUCCCGUCGACCAUGUACGAGACGGACGGGAUGGAGUCACCGGCGGCGACAGCAGCAAAGGAACGAUGAUGGGCAGUGCGCGUGGAGCAGAUGUGAUCUGUUCAUGGCAGCUAUGGUUAGGAGACACCUGAUGACCCACAAGUGUAGGGGAUCUAUCGUAGUCCUUUCGAUAAGUAAGAGUGUCAAACCCAACGAGGAGCAGAAGGAAAUGAUAAGCGGUUUUCAGCAAGGUAUUCUCUACAAACACUAAAAUUAUAGGUAAUAGAUAGUUUUGUGAUAAGAUAAUUUGUAACGAGCAACAAUUAACAAAAGUAAAUAAAGUGCAGCAAGGUGGCCCAAUCCUUUUUGUAGCAAAGGACAAGCCUGGACAAAGUCUUAUAUAGAAGAAAGCGCUCCCGAGGACACAUGGAAAUUAUCGUCAAGCUAGUUUUCAUCACGUUCAUAUGAUUCGCGUUCGGUACUUUGAUAAUUUGAUAUGUGGGUGGACCGGUGCUUGGGUGUUGUCCUUACUUGCACAAGCAUCCCACUUGUUAUUAACCGCCAUUGCAAGCAUCCGCAACUACAACAGAAGUAUUAAAGUAAACUUAACCAUAGCAUGAAACAUAUGGAUCCAAAUCAGCCCCUUACGAAGCAACGCAUAAACUAGGGUUUAAGCUUCUGUCACUCUAGCAACACAUCAUCUACUUAUUACUUCCCAAUGACUUCCUCUAGGCCCAAAUAAUGGUGAAGUGUCAUGUAGUCGACGUUCACAUAACACCACUAGAGGAGAGACAACAUACAUCUCAUCAAAAUAUCGAACGAAUACCAAAUUCACAUGACUACUAAUAGCAAGACUUCUCCCAUGUCCUCAGGAAAAAACGUAACUACUCACAAAGCAUAUUCAUGUUCAUAAUCAGAGGGGUAUUAAUAUGCAUGUAUGAUCUGAACAUAUGAUCUUCCACCAAAUAAACCGGCUAGCAUCAACUACAAGGAGUAAUCAACACUACUAGCAACCUACAGGUACCAAUCCCAGACUUAGAGACAAGAAUUGGAUACAAGAGAUGAAUUAGGGUUUGAGAGGAGAUGGUACUAGUGAAUAUGUUGAUGGAGAUUGGCCCCCUCCCGAUGAGAGGAGCAUUGGUGAUGACGGUGGCGAUGAUUUCCCCCUCCCGGAGGGAAGUGUCCCCGACAGAACAGCUCCGCCAGAGCCCUAGAUUGGUUCCGCCAAGGUUCCGCCUCGUGGCGGCGGAGUCUCGUCCCGAAAGCUUGCUUAUGAUUUUUUUCCUCAACCAAAGACUCCAUAUAGCAGAAGAUGGGCAUCUGAGGGCCACCAGGAGGCCCACGAUGCAGGGGGCGCGCCCAGGGGGGUAGGGCGCGCCCCCCACCCUCGUGGCCAGGGUGUGGGCCCCCUCUGGAACUUCUUGCGCUCAGUAUUUUUUAUAUAUUUUGAAAAUAGCUUCCGUGAAGUUUCAGGACUUUUGGAGAUGUGCAGAAUAGGUCUCUACUAUUUGCUCCUUUUCUAGCCUAGAAUCCCAGCUGCCGGCAUUCUCCCUCUUUAUGUAAACCUUGUAAAAUAAUAGAGAAUAUGCGUAAGUAUUGUGACAUAAUGUGUAAUAACAGCCCAUAAUGCAAUAAAUAUCGAUAUAAAAGCAUGAUGCAAAAUGGACGUAUCAACACCCCACACUUAUAUAGGCGCAACCGCGUGGAGAGACAUGGUUUCGACCCACGUCCGUGAUUGCCCAUGAUCAGACGUGUCAAAUCAUGGCCCAACUGUCAGAAAACUCUCUGUUACUGACUGGCAAAAAUAAGCACGUAGGUGUGAGCUCGGCGGCUCAUUCCCACAACCUGCAGCGCAUCGUGACGAGGCGUGGCCUGGCGAGGCGGGCGGCAUAUGAGGAGUGCGCGAGGGCCUCUUCUUUUCUCAAGAUCCAGUAGCAUGCUGAAGAGAAACCCUUACAAAGAGGUCCAACUCCUUCUCCACUAGCGGGGUGGGACUAAACUUCCAACUACACCUAGUUGAAGGAAAUAUGCCCUAGAGGCAAUAAUAAAGUUGUUAUUUAUAUUUCCUUAUAACAUGAUAAAUGUUUAUUAUUCAUGCUAGAAUUGUAUUAACCGGAAACUUAGUACAUGUGUGAAUACAUAGACAAACAGAGUGUCCCUAGUAUGCCUCUACUUGACUAGCUCGUUAAUCAAAGAUGGUUAAGUUUCCUAGCCAUAGACAUGUGUUGUCAUUUGAUGAACGGGAUCACAUCAUUAGAGAAUGAUGUGAUGGACUUGACCCAUCCAUUAGCUUAGCAUGAUGAUCGUUUAGUUUUUUGCUAUUGCUUUCUCCAUAACUAUACAUCUUUCCUAUAACCAUGAGAUCAUGCAACUCCCGAAUACCGGAGGAACACUUUGUGUGCUACCAAACGUCACAACAUAACUGGGUGAUUAUAAAGGUGCUCUACAGGUGUCUCCAAUGGUGUUUGUUGAGUUGGCAUGGAUCAAGAUUAGGAUUUGUCACUCCAAUUGUCGGAGAGGUAUCUGUGGGCCCUCUCGGUAAUGUACAUCAAAAUAAGCCUUGCAAGAAAUGUAGCUAAUGAGUUAGUUACGGGAUGUAGCAUUAUGGAACGAGUAAAGAGACUUGCUAGUAACGAGAUUGAACUAGGUAUUGAGAUACUGACGAUCGAAUCUCGGGCAAGUAACAUACCGAUGACAAAAGGAACAAUGUAUGUUGUUAUGCAGUUUGACCGAUAAAGAUCUUCAUAGAAUAUGUCGGAACCAAUAUGAGCAUACAGGUUCCGCUAUUGUUCAUUGACCAGAGACAUGUCUCGGUCAUGUCUACAUAGUUCUCGAACCCGUAGGGUCCGCAUGCUUAACGUUCGGUGACGAUCGGUAUUACGAGUUUAUGUGUUUUGAUGUACCGAUGGUAGUUCAGAGCCCCAGAUUUGAUCACAGACAUGACGAGGAGUCUCAAAAUGGUUGAGACGUAAAGAUCGAUAUAUUGGAAUUCUAUGUUUGGACAUCGGAAUGGUUCCGGGUGAAAUGGGGAGUAUAGCGGAACUCCCCGGGAGGUGUAUGGGCCUUAUUGGGCCUUAGUGGAAGAGAGGGAGAAGAAGCAAAGGAGCCCCCCCCCCAAGCCCAAUCCGAAUUGGGAGGGGGGCCGGCCCCCCUUUCCUUUCUUAUUCCUCCUCCUUCCUUCUCUCCUAAAACCAAACAAGGGAAGGGGGAAUCCUACUCACGGUGGGAGUAGGACUCCCUUGGGUGCGCCUAGAGAGGCCGGCCCCCUCCCCCUCGUCCACUCCUUCAUAUACGGGGGAGGGGGGCACCCCAUAGACACACAAGUUGAUCAUUGAUCUUUUAGCCGUGUGCGGUUCCCCCUCCACCAUAAUCCACCUCGGUUAUAUUGUAGUGGUGCUUAGGCGAAGCCCUGUUCCGGUAGCAUCAUCAUCACGUCAUCACGCCGUCGUGCUGACAAAACUCUCCCUCGAAGCUCUACUAGAUCGUGAGUUCGCGGGACAUCACCGAGCCGAACGCGUGCAGAUCAUGAAGGUGUCGUACCUUCGGUGCGAGAUCGGUCGAUCGUGAAGACGUAUGACUAUAUCAAUUGCGUUGUUAUAACGCUUCCGCUUACGGUCUACGAGGGUACGUAGACAAUACUCUCCCCUCUCGUUGCUAUGCAUCACCAUGAUCUUGCGUGUGCGUAGGAAUUUUUUUGAAAUUACUAUGUUCCCCAAUAGUGGCAACUGAGCCAGGUUUAUGCGUAGAUGUUAUAUGCACGAGUAGAACACAAAGGAGGUGUGGGCGUGGGUAUAUACAUAUUGCUUGCCGUCACUAGUUGAUUCUUGAUUCAACGGUAUUGUUGGAUGAAGCGGCCCAGACCGACAUUAUGCAUACGCUUACGCGAGACUGAUUCCACCGACGUGCUUCGCACACAAGUGGCUAGUGGGUGUCUAUUUCUCCAGCUUUAGUUGAAUCGGAUUCAAUGAACAGGGUUCUUUCUAAAGAUCAAAAAGCAAUCACUAUACUGCGUUGUGGUUUUUGAUGCGUAGGUAAGAACGGUUCUUACUCAGCCCGUAGUAGCCAUGUAAAACUUGCAACAACAAAGUAGAGGACAUCUAACUUGUUUUUGCAGGGCAUGUUGUGAUGUGAUAUGGUCAAGACAUGAUGCUAAAUUUUAUUGUAUGAGAUGAUCAUGUUUUGUAACGGAGUUAUCGGCAACUGGCAGAAGCCUUAUGGUUGUCUCUUUAUUGCAUAAGAUGCAAGCACCAUACAAUUGCUUUACUUGAUCGCUAUGCGAUAGCAAUAGUUGCAAAAGCAAUAGUUGGCGAGACGACCAUGUGACGACACGUUGAUAGAGAUCAAGAUGAUGGAGAUCAUGGUGGCAUGCCGGUGACGAUGGAGAUCAUGACGGUACUUUGGAGAUGGAGAUCAAAGGCACAAGAUGAUGAUGGCCAUAUCAUGUCACAUAUUUUGAUUACAUGUGAUGUUUAUCUUUUAUGCUUCUUAUUUUGCUUAGUACGGCGGUAGCAUUAUAAGAUGAUCUCUCACAAAAUUUCAAGCUAUAAGUGUUCUCCCUGAGUAUGCACCGUUGCGACAGUUCAUCGUGCUGAGACACCACAUGAUGAUCGGGUGUGAUAAGCUCUAUGUUCACAUACAACGGGUGCAAGCUAGUUUUGCACACGCGGAAUACUCGGGUUAAACUUGACAAGCCUAGCAUAUGCAGAUAUGGCCUCGGAACACUGGAGACCGAAAGGUCGAGCGUGAAUCAUAUAGUAGAUAUGAUCAACAUAGUGAUGUUCACCAUUGAAAACUACUCCAUCUCACGUGGUGAUCGGACAUGGUUUAGUUGAUUUGGAUCACGUGAUCAUUUAGAUGACUAGAGGGAUGUCUAUAUAAGUGGGAGUUCUUAAGUAAUAUGAUUAAUUGAACUUUAAUUUAUCGUGAACUUAGUCCUGAUAGUAUUUGCAAAAACUAUGUUGUAGAUCAAUAGCUCGCAAUGUAGCUCCCCGUUUAUUUUGAUAUGUUCCUAGAGAAAAACUAUGUUGAAAGGUGAUAGUAGCAAUGAUGCGGGCUAGGUCCGUGAUCUAAGGAUUAUCCUCAUUUCUGCACAGAAGAAUUAUGUCCUUGAUGCACCGCUAGGUGACAGACCUAUUGCAGGAGCAGAUGCAGAUGUUAUGAACGUUUGACAAGCUCGGUAUGAUGACUACUUGAUAGUUAGUGCACCAUGCUUUACGGCUCAGAACCGGGACUUCAAAAACGUUUUGAACGCCACGGAACAUAUAAGAUGUUCCAAGAGUUGAAACUAGUAUUUCAGACUAAUGCCCGUGUCGAGAGGUAUGAGACCUCUGACAGUACUUUGCCUACAAGAUGGAGGAGAAUAGCUCAACAAAUGAGCAUGUGCUCAGAUUGUCUAAGUACUACAAUUGCUUGAAUCAAGUGGGAGUUAAUCUUCCAGAUAAAAUAGUGGUUGACAAAGUUCUCUAGUCACUAUCACCAAGUUACUGGAACUUCGUGAUGAACUAUAAUAUGCAAGGGAUGACGAAAGUAAUUCCCACCCUCUUCACGAUGUUGAAAUCAGCGAAGGUAAAAAUCAAGAAAAGCAUCAAGUGUUGAUGGUUGACAAGACCACUAGUUUCAAGUAAAAGGGCAAGGGAAAGAAAGGGAACUUCAAGAAGAAUGGCAAGCAAGUUGCCACUCCCAUGAAGAAGCCCAAAGUUAGACCCAAGCCUAAAACUAAGUGCUUCUACUGCAAAGGAAAUGGUCACUGGAAGUGGAACUGCCCUAGAUACUUGGCGGAUAAGAAGGAUGUCAUAUUGAACAAAGGUAUAUUGGAUAUACAUGUUAUUGAUGUGUACUUUACUAGUGUUUAUAGCAACCCCUCGAUAUUUGAUACUGGUUUAGUUGCUAAGAGUAGUAACUCAAAACGGGAGUUGCAAAAUAAAUAGAGACUAGUUAAGGGCGAUGUGAUGAUGUGUGCUGGAACUGAUUCCAAGGUUGAUAAGAUCAACAUCAUACACUCCCUUUACCUUUGGUAUUAGUGUUGAACCUAAAAUAAAUGUUAUUUGGCAUUUGCGUUGAGCAUGAAUAUGAUUGGAUCAUGUUUGUUGCAGUACGGUUAUUCAUUUAAGUCAAAGAAUAAUUGUUGUUCUAAUUACAUGAAUAAAACCUUCUAUGGUCAUACACUCAAUAUAAAUGGUUUAUUGAAUCUCGAUCAUAGUGAUACACAUAUUCAUAAUAUUGAAGCCAAAAGAUGCAAAGUUAAAAUGAUAGUGCAACUUAUUUGUGGCACUACCGUUUAGGUCAUAUUGGUGUAAAGCGCAUAAAGAAUCUCCAUGCUGAUGGGCUUUUGGAAUCACUUGAUUAUGAAUCACUUGAUGCUUGCAAACCAUGCCUCAUGGGCAAGAUGACUAAGACUCCGUUCUCCGGAACAGUGGAGCGAGCAACUGACUUAUUGGAAAUAAUACAUACUGAUGUAUGCGGUCCGAUGAGUGUUGAGGCUCGUGGCGGGUAUCAUUAUUUUCUGACCUUCACAGAUGAUUUGAGAAAAUAUGGGUAUAUCUACUUGAUGAAACAUAAGUCUGAAACAUUUGAAAAGUUCAAAGAAUUUCAGAGUGAAGUGGAAAAUCAUCGUAAACAGAAAAUAAAGUUUCUACGAUCUGAUCGUGGAGACGAAUAUUUGAGUUACGAGUUUGGUCUUCAACUAAAACAACAUGGAAUAGUUUCACAAAUUCAUGCCACCUAGAACACCAUGGCAUAAUGGUGUGUCCAAACGUCAUAACCAUACUUUAUAGGAUAUAGUGCAAUCUAUGAUGUCUCUUACCAAUUUACCACUAUCGUUUUGGGGUUAUGCAUUAGAGACAGCUACAUUCACGUUAUAUAGGGCAUCGUCUAAUCCGUUGAGACGACACCGUAUGAACUAUGGUUUGGCUAGAAACCUAAGCUGUCGUUUCUUAAAGUUUGGGGUUGUGAUGCUUAUGUGAAAAAGUUUCAGCCUGAUAAGCUCAAACCCAAAUCGGAAAAGUGCGUCUUCAUAGGACACCCAAAAGAAACUGUUGGGUACACCUUCUAUCACAGAUCUGAAAGGCAAGAUCUUUGUUGCUAAGAGUGGAUCCUUUCUAGAGAAGAAGUUUCUCUCGAAAGAAGUUAGUGGGAGGAAUGUAGAACUUGACGAGGUAAUUGUACCUUCUCCCGAAUUGGAAAGUAGUUCAUCACAAAAAUCAAUUCUAGCAAUUUCUACGCCAAUUAGUGAGGAAGCUAAUGAUGAUGAUCAUGAAACUUCAGAUCAAGUUACUACCGAACCUCGUAGGACAACCAGAGUAUGGUCCGCACCAGAGUGGUACGGUAAUCCUUUCUGGAAGUCAUGUUACUAGACCAUGACGAACCUAUGAACUAUGAGGAAGCAAUGAUGAGCCCAGAUUCCGCAAAAUGGCUUAAGGCCAUGAAAUCUAAGAUGGGAUCCAUGUAUAAAGAACAAAUUAUGGACUUUGAUUGACUUGCCCAAUGAUUGGCGAGCCAUUGAGAAUAAAUGGAUCUUCAAGAGGAAGACGGACACUGAUAGUAGUGUUACUAUCUACAAAGCUCAAAUUUUCGCAAAAAGGUUUUCGACAAGUUCAAGGUGUUGACUACGAUGAGAUUUUCUCACUCGUUGUAAUGCUUAAGUCUGUCCAAAUCAUGUUAGCAAUUGCCACAUUUUAUGAAAUCUGGCAAACGGAUGUCAAAACUGCAUUCCUUAAUGGAUUUCUUAAAGAAGAGUUGUAUAUGAUACAACAAGAAAGUUUUGUCAAUCCUAAAGGUACUAACAAAGUGUGCAAGCUCCAGCGAUCCAUCUAUGGACUGGUGCAAGUAUCUCGGAGUUGGAAUACACGCUUCGAUGAGUUGAUCAAAGCAUAUAGUUUUAUACAGACUUUUGAAGAAGCAUGUAUUUACAAGAAAGUGAGUGGGAGCUCUGUAGCAUUUAUGAUAUUAUAUGUGGAUGACAUAUUGUUGAUCAGAAAUGAUACUAAAUUUCUGGAUAGCAUAAAAGGAUACUUGAAUAAGAAUUUUUCAAUGAAAGACCUCGGAGAAGCUGCUUACAUAUUGGGCAUCAAGAUCUAUAAAGAUAGAUCAAGACGCUUGAUAAGACUUUCGAUGAGUACAUACCUUGAUAAGAUUUUGAAGGAGUUCAAAAUGGAUCAGUCAAAGAAGGAGUUCUUGCCUGAGUUGUAAGGUGUGAAAUUGAGUAAAGACUCAAAACCCGGCCACGGCAGAAAAUGGAAAGAGAAUGAAAAGUAAUUCCCUAUGCCUCAGUCAUAGGUCCUAUAAAGUAUGCUAUGUUGUGUACCAGACCUAUUGUAUACCUUAGCAUGAUUUUGGCAAGGGAAUACAUUUAGUGAUCUAGGAGUAGAUCACUGGACAGCGGUCAAAAUUAUACUUAGAGGACUAAGGAAAUAUUUCUUGGUUAUGGAGGUGAUAAAAGAGUUUGCCGUAAAGAGUUACAUCGAUGCAAGCUUUUUACACCGAUCUAGAUGACUCUAAGUCUCGAUCUAGAUACAUAUUGAAAGUGGGAGAAAUUAGCUAGAGUAGCUUUGUGCAGAGUAUUAUAGACAUAGAAAUUUGCAAAAUACAUACGGAUCUGAAUGUUGCAGACCCGUAGACUAAACUUCUCUCACAAGCAAAACAUGAUCACUCUUUGGGUGUUAAUCACAUAGCGAUGUGAACUAGAAUAUUGACUCUAGUAAACCCUUUGGGUAUUAGUCACAUGAAGAUGUGAACUAAUCACAUAAAGAUGUGAACUAUUAGUGUGAACUCACAUGACGAUGUGAACUAGAUUAUUGACUCUAGUGCAAGUGGGAGACUGAAGGAAAUAUGCCCUAGAGGCAAUAAUAAAGGUGUUAUUUAUAUUUCCUUAUAUCAUGAUAAAUGUUUAUUAUUCACGGUAGAAUUGUAUUAACCGGAAACUUAGUACAUGUGUGAAUACAUAGACAAACAGAGUGUCCCUAGUAUGCCUCUACUUGACUAGCUCGUUAAUCAAAGAUGGUUAAGUUUCCUAGCCAUAGACAUGUGUUGUCAUUUGAUGAACGGGAUCACAUCAUUAGAGAAUGACGUGAUGGACUUGACCCAUCCAUUAGCUUAGCACGAUGAUCGUUUAGUUUGUUGCUAUUGCUUUCUCCAUAGCUAUACAUGUUCCUAUAACUAUGAGAUCAUGCAACUCUCAAAUACCGGAGGAACACUUUGUGUGCUACCAAACGUCACAACAUAACUGGGUGAUUAUAAAGGUGCUCUACAGGUGUCUCCAACGGUGUUUGUUGAGUUGGCAUGGAUUAAGAUUAGGAUUUGUCACUUCGAUUUUCGGAGAGGUAUCUCUGGGCCCUCUCGGUAAUGUACAUCACAAUAAGCCUUGCAAGCAAUGUAGCUAAUGAGUUAGUUACGGGAUGUAGCAUUACGGAACGAGUAAAGAGACUUGCCACUAACGAGAUUGAAGUAGGUAUUGAGAUAUCAACGAUCGAAUCUCGGGCAAGUAACAUACUGAUGACAAAAGGAACAACGUAUGUUGUUAUGCGGUUUGACCGAUAAAGAUCUUCGUAGAAUAUGUAGGAACCAAUAUGAGCAUCCAGGUUCCGCUAUUGGUUAUUGACCGGAGACAUGUCUCGGUCAUGUCUACAUAGUUCUCGAACCCGUAGGGUCCGCACGCUUAAUGUUCGGUAUUAUGAGUUUAUGUGUUUUGAUGUACCGAAGGUAGUUCAGAGUCCCAGAUUUGAUCACGGACAUGACGAGGAGUCUCGAAAUGGUCGAGACGUAAAGAUCGAUAUAUUGGAAGCCUAUGUUUGGACAUUGGAAUGGUUCGGGGUGAAAUCGGGAGUAUACCGAAACCCCACGGGAGGUGUUUGGGCCUUAUUGGGCCUUAGUGGAAGAGAGGGAGAAGAAGCAAAGGAGGGGGCGCCCCCCCCCCCAAGCCCAAUCUGAAUUGGGAGGGGUGGGCCCCCCUUUCCUUCCUUCUUCCUCCUCCUUCCUUCUCUCCUAAAACCAAACAAGGGAAGGGGGAAUCCUACUCCCGGUGGGAGUAGGACUCCCUUGGGCGCGCCUAGAGAGGUCGGCCCCCUCCCCUUCCCCCACUACUUUAUAUACGGCGAAGGGGGCACCCCAUAGACACACAAGUUGAUCGUUGAUCUUUUAGCCGUGUGCGGUGCCCCCUCCACCAUAAUCCACCUCGGUUAUAUCGUAGCGGUGCUUAGGCGAAGCCCUGUUCCGGUAGCAUCAUCAUCAUCAUCAUCAUCAUGCCGUCGUGCUGAUGAAACUCUCCCUCGAAGAUCUAAUGGAUCAUGAAUUCGCGGGACGUCACUGAGCCGAGCGUGUGCCGAUCGCGGAGGUGUCGUACCUUCGAUGCUAGAUCGGUCGAUCGUGAAGACUUACGACUACAUCAAGCGCAUUGUCAUAACGCUUCCGCUUACGGUCUAUGAGGGUACGUAGAUGAUACUCUCCCCUCUCGUUGCUAUGCAUCACCAUGAUCUUGCGUGUGCGUAGGAAUUUUUUUUGAAAUUACUGUGUUCCCCAACACUAGUGCCAUAUAACCCACAUGGGCUCUUAGUGAUUUUUCUGAAAUUGUUGGAUGGGCCUAAAGCCCACCCCACACACAGAUGGCACCAUUGAAAGACAAAUUUAAUGCACUACAGGAAUCAGCUAUUUUGCUGUCUGCCACGGCAGACGGCAAAGAGCCACAAAGCUGACGACAAAACUCUUUGCCGUCAGCCGUGGACGACAAACGUGUCCGGCGUUGUAAACACUGGCAAAGAGUUUCUUUGUCGUCUAUUUUGUGACAGCGGACGGCAAAGACCCUUUGUCGUCGGUAAUGGAUGAUGAAGAAGGUAGAUGACAAAGAACCGACGUUAGUCACGUUAGGUGGCUAACGUCAGACUUUGUCGUUAGCCAGCGGACGGCAAAACGUGCUUCAACAUGUCACCACGUACACGUCACCCACAUACCCGGCAUGACGUCCGGUCAAACCGCCACGCGUCACCUCGGGGAAAGCACGUCCUGGGAAAGUGCAUCAUCUGCCACCCCGACGCCCCAUCCCGUCGACGGCCGCCUUGCCUUCCACCCCCAUCGUCCCGUCCCAUAGUCCCAUCCCGCCCCGAGACACCCGCAUUAAUGAGCAGUAAUGCCGACUGCUAGCCCGGUCGCCCACCUCCCGUUACCCGGACGGCUAUAUGAACAUGCCCCACCGUCGGCCCCCCACACCCGACCUCAAACCCACUGCCGGUGAGAAAUCCAGCACAGCACCGGCGAUGUCCUACCACCACGGGAGCAGCAGCGCCGGCGACAACGACGACGCCCGAGCGCCUGGUCGUCCAGCCUCAGCAAUUCAGAGACGAAGGAGUUGUGCCGGUACGGCCUCCUCGUGACGACAAGCUGACGUCUUCCCUGGCAGUGGAAGAUCAGGACGGACGGCUACCCAACGCUCGGCCCCGACGCAACGUCGAACACAUCGACUGCCUCCACAACAUUCAAGGCCGGUAUGACUUCUCGCGCUGCAAGGUGUACAACGAUGUGAUCGCCGCCUUCCGGCUUGCGGCGACCGGCUUCACCCCCGACUUCACUGCCCCGAGCCACCGUCGCGGAUCUGACCACCCCCAGCCAACCCCCCCCCAGCGUCGGUGCAGGGCCCUGCCCCGCAGGAGCACCCUCGCGGAUCUGACCGCCACUAGCCAGCCCUCCCGGCGCCCGCACGCGCACCGGCCGUCCCCCCUGUCGUCGAGCUGCCGCCGGAACAAGUUGUCCUCCAUGAGGGCGACGAUCCGGACGACACUCCGGGGUGGCAUGUUGCCCUACGGGCGUCGGAGGCGGCUGCGAGGGAAGCCGCCGAGGUAGCGGCCGCCAUCGACACUGUCGCGGCCACGGCGGCAGAGGAGGCCGCGAUGGCGCCGGCGAAGGAGGAGGAGGCGGCGCCAUCGGAGGAGGAGGAGGCGGCGCCGGCGGAGGAGGAGGAAGACGGCCCCGUCGACUGGGACAACGUCGUGGCAGACAGCAGCUGCGACGAUGGCGGUGACGGCGAAGGCACCGUCGUGAUCGACCUGCUCGCUAGCGAUGACGACGACUAUAUGUAAAAAUAUUAUGUAAAAUAUAUCUAUGUUGAGUGAAAAUGCAAUUUGAAAAAUAGAUCUAUGUUGAAUUUUAUGCCGACGGGGCGGGGGGAGCGGCGUGNNNNNNNNNNNNNNNNNNNNNNNNNNNNNNNNNNNNNNNNNNNNNNNNNNNNNNNNNNNNNNNNNNNNNNNNNNNNNNNNNNNNNNNNNNNNNNNNNNNNNNNNNNNNNNNNNNNNNNNNNNNNNNNNNNNNNNNNNNNNNNNNNNNNNNNNNNNNNNNNNNNNNNNNNNNNNNNNNNNNNNNNNCGACCUGGGGGGGCUUAGCGGCGGGUCGUCGUUGGCGGCGGGCGGCGGUGGGGUGCGGUCGGGGGGGAAGAGGAGGGGAUGGGAGACGAAGAGAGGAGGGGGCAUUAGGGCCGUUAGGUAGGGACUUGUUUGACGUCCGCUAGCUGACGGCAAAGUGAGCAGGUGGGGGUGGGCUGUUACAAUAGCUGGCCUCCACUGGACCCCACCCACCUCUCUGCCUUCAGCUAGCGGAUGGCAAAGUUUUGUUGUCGUCAGCAAGCCGACGGCAAAGAAGAGGUUGAUGGCAAAUUCUUUGAUUCCAGUAGUGAUGGUUGGAUGGCUACUUGCGAUGUUUUACUCAUGUUUGUCCUGUCCAGAGAGCACAAUGGUUGUUACUUGCUAAAUUUUGGCACAAUUUCAGCAUGCGCUCUACUUUGGACAACAAAUCUCCAUUCGAGGUGCUCUACGGCCAUUCUUCUCGCCACUUUAGUGUUACAUCUACCGACAUUUGCCCUGUUCCUGAAUUGGAUGUGUGGUUAAAGAGUGUGGCCUUAUGCUGAGAUUGUUACAGGAACGCGCUCAUAUGAAAAGCCAUGGCAACAAGAAGCGUUCAGGCCGAGUGCUCCAGAUUAGCGACUCUUUUUAAGCUGCAACCCUAUAGUCAGUCUACAUUUGCAUCACGAGGACAGCCCAAGUUGUUGUUCAAGUUUUAUGGUCCGGUCAAAGUGCUUGACGGGUUGGUUACAUAGCUUAUCGUCUCUAAUUUUCCACCUGAAGAUGCGCAAUUAUUUGUACCAUGAAAAGUGUUACAGCGUCGAUUCUGGCAUGAAUUGCAAUAUGGGAAGACUUAGAUGAGCCAUGAGCCACAGUUUGGGGACAAGUUGUUCUUCAAGGGACGGGGCCAAGUCAAUAGCGACAAAGUUAGCGACCAAGCCUCUAGACGCAUCGCCAGUGUAGAAGGAUACAUCAUCCUUCUAAUCCCUACACUCAAGACCAAUGGGUCACGGGCCCGUUAACACAUGGAAGGUUGUCAUGUUUUGAAACCUGGGCUUCGUGUCAUAUAAAUGGACGAUGCAUAGCGGCUUCCCUUCAAAAUCCUUCUAAUCCCUACUACCUCGCUGCUCCGUAUUGUUUUUAUGACAUGUAAACAGGGACCUCCCAUCGUGCGUUUAUAUGACAUGAAAAUUGGAAAAUAUGAUUAGCUAGAUAAAAACAUGAACGGUUUUGAAAAUUCUGAACAUUUUUUGAAAAACACGAAUAUUUUUUUUCCAAUUGUCAACAUCUUUUAAAGGAAACAGUUUCCAAAAAUUCCUGAUUUUUUUUUAUUUCUGAACAAACUUAAAAACAGGAAAAACUCUUAAAAGUGUGAAGAUUAAAAAAACAAGAAAAUCUUUUGAAUAUGUGAAAAAAAAUUAAAACAGGAACUUCUUCAAAUUUCAAAACCCGAACAUGAUUUGAAAUUCCACAGAUAUUUUUUGAAAAGGCAACCAUUUUAUGAAUAUGUGAACAAAUUUGAAAACGGGAAACACUUUUGAAAUUUGAUUCGAAAAGAAACAGAAAAAAGGAAAAGGAAAAACCGAGAGGAAAAAAAUAAAGAAAACAAAAAGGAAGAAAAACCGGAUCAAGGUUCCUUAAACCGGUUAUGAACCUUUUGCCAGAACCAGUGGCUCGCUCCUCUCGAAUUCGAAUUCCUCGAUUGAUAGACAAAUCCCCAUUCCGAUCUAGAUCCACUAUCCCCACGCUAAGAAAGAAGACAAUAACGCGAACACUGGCUGCUUCUCGAGCGCACGGCUGAUACAAUGCAACAGCUGUCUGCUGAUAGCCAUGGCUGCCUACGCGAUCCAACAGCGACGGGGCCUCCAGCCGCCGACAGAACCUGGUCUCUGGCGUCCGAAAUUGUUAGACCUUGGGUUCUUCUCGAACAAGUCGCUGGUGAGCGGGCGAGCUGGCCGAGCGGCGACGGCAGAGCUGCAGGUGGCUCGGUCGAAGCCGGUACAUAACCGGUUACCCACACGUAAGUAGAAAAAUAAAAAAGACAAUCAAUAAAAAUGAGAAAAUGACUUGGUAAUCAAAGUUUACGAACUGGUUGCAAUUUUGUGAAGCCCAUCUUGGAUCUUGGGGGGUGGCAAGUACUCCCUCUGUAAACUAGUACUAACAAAUACUCCCUCUGUUCCUAAAUAUAAGUCUUUGGAGAGAUUCCACUAUGAACCACAUACGGAUGUAUGUAGAUACAUUUUAGAGUGUAGAUUCACUCAUUUUGCUCCGUAUGUAGUGCAUAGUGAAAUUUCUACAAAGACUUAUAUUUAGGAACGGAGGAAGUAUAUAGUUCAAGAAAACUAAUAAAUAUAUAAGAUCUUUUAGAUCACUACUAUAAGAUCUUUUUAGAUCUUCUAUUAGUUUUCAGAGGACUAAUAUCUAAAAGAUCUUAUAUUAGUCUAGAAACUAAUAAGAUAUUUUUAUAAUGAUCUAAAAGAUCUUAUAUUAGUUUACACAGGGAGUACUAACCUUUUGUUUUACUAGUUUCACAGAAGGGAAUUACCAGAGCAAGUAGUCAAACUGUCACAGCCAACGAGCCAACGACGACAUGCGCAUACCCAACGACGUCAAGCCACAUUAUUGGUCUCAUGCCAACAACCUGACAGCUGAGUAUCAAAACCAUAUAAGUUAACAGGCACCAAUGUACAAGGGGAUGAUUCGCCAUCACACCUCACAACGGCUCAACAUGUGAUACACAGAUAAAUAAAUGGCUGGAGAAUAUCUCUACCAAUUGCUUGUUGAAUGAAAGUUUUUACAGCAAGACAUGAUAACACAGCUACAGCAACCCACGAAACAAGUCGUCCUAGCGCACUUAUUUCCAUGGCUCAGGCACCAAAGAAUGGACCGGGGACCGCAUAACUCAAUCUCAAUCUAGAAUCAAUGGAGAGGAACAUCGGUUAUUCUGCUUCCUCUCCAGCCCUA